CAGUCGAGCGGUAAGGCCCUUCGGGGUACACGAGCGGCGAACGGGUGAGUAACACGUGGGUGAUCUGCCUUGCACUUCGGGAUAAGCCUGGGAAACUGGGUCUAAUACCGGAUAUGACCUCGAAUCGCAUGGUUCGGGGUGGAAAGAUUUAUCGGUGCGAGAUGGGCCCGCGGCCUAUCAGCUUGUUGGUGAGGUAACGGCUCACCAAGGCGACGACGGGUAGCCGACCUGAGAGGGUGACCGGCCACACUGGGACUGAGACACGGCCCAGACUCCUACGGGAGGCAGCAGUGGGGAAUAUUGCACAAUGGGCGCAAGCCUGAUGCAGCGACGCCGCGUGCGGGAUGACGGCCUUCGGGUUGUAAACCGCUUUUGACAGGGACGAAGCGCAAGUGACUGUACCUGUAGAAUAAGGACCGGCCAACUACGUGCCAGCAGCCGCGGUAAUACGUAGGGUCCGAGCGUUGUCCGGAAUUACUGGGCGUAAAGAGCUUGUAGGCGGUUCGUCGCGUCGUUUGUGAAAACUUGGGGCUCAACCUUAAGCUUGCAGGCGAUACGGGCGGACUAGAGUACUUCAGGGGAGACUGGAAUUCCUGGUGUAGCGGUGAAAUGCGCAGAUAUCAGGAGGAACACCGGUGGCGAAGGCGGGUCUCUGGGAAGUAACUGACGCUGAGAAGCGAAAGCAUGGGUAGCAAACAGGAUUAGAUACCCUGGUAGUCCAUGCCGUAAACGGUGGGUACUAGGUGUGGGGCUCCUUCCACGGACUCCGUGCCGUAGCUAACGCAUUAAGUACCC
rnacentral:rRNA from 2 species